UACAGAGGGGGCAAGCGUUAUUCGGAAUUAUUGGGCGUAAAGGGCGCGUAGGCGGCAUGGCAAGUGGAUGGUGAAAUCCCUCGGCUUAACCGAGGAACUGCCGUCUAAACUGCUUCGCUUGAGACCGGGAGAGGUGAGUGGAAUUCCCAGUGUAGCGGUGAAAUGCGUAGAUAUCGGAAGGAACAUCAGUGGCGAAAACGACUUCCUGGACCAGUACCGACGUUCAGGCACGAAAGCGUGGGGAGCAAACAGG
rnacentral:rRNA from 1 species